UCGUGCUCAACUCAACCAGCUGAUGGUGCCAUUGGAUCUGGUAAGGGUAGCACGCAGAGAUCAGGCAGCAAUUUGAGAUGGUUGUUCCAUGGCUGGUUUGGGCUCAAUCAUGAAGAGUUGAAUACCAAUCCUUCCAGUGCGGAUUUAUUUUUCUGCUGAAGAUUACGGCCAUGUUGAUGGAUCAUAUAGAAGGUGACUGAAGGUCAGAGGUCAGUAAGCGAAGCUCUGGGCUCUGGCUCAAUGAAGAUGGAACAUCGAUAUCUCUGGCUCGCUCAAUGUUGAGGGUGCGUAUAUUGUUGAGAGUACCUUCAUCACUGGGAGAUCCUCAACAUUGCAGGUGCAGAUCAUGCCCAAGGCUGACGAUCCCUUCUCCUGGAGGUGGACUGAGUCCGGGAGUGUUACACGACCAGAACGCUGUACAACGCCCUCUUCUCCAGUAUGGUUCAGGCACCCCCACCCCACCCCUCUGGCAGCAAAAGCUACACUGCUAUCUGCGGCCAACAGGUGCUGCUCGCUGGACUGCAGAUUGCUUGGCUCGCUCGACAUGGCCUACAGCACCCUGACCCUGGUGCUUCCUCCUUGUCCGAACAGUCUGACGAGUCUAUUGUUCACCUGCCGUACAUCAUCAUCCAAGGGAUCAAGGUGUGGUUCAAGGUGCUAAUCGUGUUUGGGGUUUAGUCAAUCAUGCUGCAAGCGCGUGUGGGGUCACGCAAGGCAGGCAGGAAGGUCCCUCAGAACUCAGAAUAUGUUGUUUGCAUAUGACAGAAGGAGUCCUUUUCUUGAAUUCAGAGACUGGUCUUCACUGACCCAGGCAUUGUUCUUCAUUCCUACCUUGUCAUUCAAUCCCUCGGAUCCGUCAAUCCAUCUACUCCCUCCGUCCCAUAA